UUUUUUUUUUUUUUUUUAGGGUUUUCGUUAUUAAGCUCGGAUUAGAGCAAAAUGCUGAUAACUUGUUGAAGGAGAAAAUAUAACAAAAAUAACGGUUUACUUAUUUAUUGAUAGAAAAACCUAUUUAUAGGCAUUACAUAGAGUCUCCCAAAUGAUCUAGAAGUUCUAUCCAUCGUAAUCUAUUCUAAUAAAGGAACCGGAUUAACUAAUCCUACGUGUAUUAGGGCAAGACACGUAACAGAACCGACGAAAACAUAAUUUCCUUAAAUAAUUACUAAUUUCCUUAAACUUUAUGAUUUUGAUAUUGGAAAAGUAUAGGCAACAUUGGAGGUCGACUGUAUGCUCUAUCUCUAUAUAUGUGUAUCCAGCCGUCCAUGCUCAUAACUCGUCACACCGAGCAACUUCAGUUAUCAAACCAUAACAAUGGCUGCAAACUUUAGCCGCCUCAAGUUCUGGUUUUGCCUUUUUCUAGUCUUGCUGAGGUUUUCGAACUCAGAGUCUGGUUCUCCUCCAUCGUCUUUAUCCAACCGGAUGAGGAUCAGCCAGCGGCCUCCUCGGGCAUUUUUGAUGGAGACUGCCAAACUAGUGUUGAAGGCAAGCAUUGCAAGACAAGCAUCUGCGGCAGGAAGAAGAACUCACUUGGUGUCGAAGCGAGUCAGUCCUGGGGGACCUGAUGGACACCAUCACUAACUUCUUUGUCUUUAGGUUUUAAACUUUGAAGACGCAGCCCGUACAAGAGUUGCAGAGUUGGUAUAUACGCGUAAAGGUUUGUCAUCAUCAUCAGUCAUGAGCAGCACUUUCUUAAGAGCUGUUCGAAUUUGAGACACGAACUUUUGAUCAUUCAUCAGUUUGAUUUUUGAAGCUUUGCAGUUCUGGAUAUGUAAACUUUUCCUAGUGGUGAUUAUCAGUAAGAAAUAUUAUAUGAAUUGUUAUUAAGAGAAAAUGUUAAUUAUGUACGUGGUGGGAGCAAUGUAUAGAGCUAUUUUAUUAGGUCAACUCAACAAUCAUUGCAAGCAAUACCAUUCAAAUUCAGACUUAUCACUCGAAAAAGAGAGAGAUUCAUGAGUAACACACAUAAAACAUAUAAACAUAGUCAUCUGUACAUAUUGUCUUCUUUACUCUUCAACUGGACAGAUUAUUGGUCAAUGAACUCAUCUAAUUAAUUAGUCGAGCAAGCACUUUCACACAACUAAAUCGUUUUUUGCUGGAGCACGCUUUAUUUUAUCACGUUCGCAACAAGCUGAACAGAUAUAUAAUGGCAUCAUCUGUUAGAUGAAGGAAGAGGACCAGAAUACUGUGAUGGGAUUGUAAGAAUCAGUUGAAAGAGUAACAGAAGAGAAUGCAGAGGAUGGGGUUGUUGGGAAUGAUGUUCUAUAAUCCUUGAUUCAUAUCGACAUAUUCUUAUGACUUGCAUGCAUAUUGCUUUCAUACACAUCCCUUUAGUGUUGAUCAGAUAAGAUGCAAUCUUUGACCUUCCUGUUGUUUCCUCUAAUUCCACUACUAAUAAUCACGUUUUGAAUUCGAAAGUAGAUUCUUGCCGACAGAGUGAAGCAAGAGAGAGAUUUGAUGCAGCAAUUGGAUAUACAAUACAUGUUUGAUACACCUGAAUUUCACAUCAUUUGAUGUUGUCGAAGAAUCUAGCUAGACCAGGUACUUGCUGCGCCGAGGCCUGAGAAUCCAAAUGUCCACUUAAACUAACUAGCGGCCGGGGUACUUUCAGGGGGGCCUUGCCCCUUUGGAUAGUUAUAAAAUGUUAUCAGACAAACUUAUCUGUAGCAUAGAUGAGGGAAGGUGCCAGUGCCACCACCCCCUACAGAGAAUCCUUAAAUGCGGUCUCAGCAAGACCAAUUUGUAUGUAGCUAUCUCCUAUCUAGCUGUGAAAUGUCUAAACGAACAAGAAAUGACUGCAGGUUUAAGACUUAAUAUAUAGUUCGUUGUAUACAGAUGACAUAUUCAACAAGAGUAAAUUAAGUUGAGGCCUUAAGCUAGGGUCUUAUAUAUACGUCUUUGGGUUGUUAUCUUGGGUCAAUCUGGUUAUCACUCUCAAGACCCUAAGAUAUAUAUGGAUCGGUCGACAGCAAAGCAUGAGUAGAUGCAUUAUAAGAAAAGGAUUUCCUUAUUAGUUAACUUAUAAGAUCAUUUACUGAAGCUUUAAACUAAUUAAAUGAAUCUAGAAGAGAUCCUCCAACUAGCUACUGUGUCUCACUCCUUUUGGGGUCAAACAACUUGCUUCAGUUUUGGACUUGAGCUCAAUUUUUCAAGAUACUUCCUUUCUUUGAUUAGUUGUAUUUUCAGCCCUUUCCUAUUCUUCUAAAGGCAAGCUUGUUGAUACCAAUCUUGAUAUUAGGUCUGUAAUCUUCUAUCAGUGCUUAAUUGCAUGUAGUUCAGAGGCAUGGUUUUCAGUUGUGUUCUUUACUUGUGUAAAAUGCGGUGUCAUGCAUCAAGUGUUAUGGUUAUUAACAGGAGCAGGUUUCUUCAGGGUAGAAAAAUACAGAGAAACGCACCAGAAGGACAAGAUUCUCACCACCAUCAGCACAUUUAAUUUCCACUGGUGUCUUUGCAAGGGGACUGGCAUAGGUAUUUUAUAGGCUGAGCAAUCUAAGAUCAGAAAAAUAAUGCUCUGGCUCAUUCAAGUAUGAACCAGUUUGAAGAAUAAAAGCAUAUACUUCGAAAGGCAUACACUUACAGUUUAUGCUGAAGCUGGAAAAUCUACAUUCAUAGUACUAAAAAUCUUGCUGGUGAUCUCACUCCAAUUUUGUUCCAUUUUUAAACUCAUCUUUCCUUGGAGAAAGUUCUACGCUUCUACGUGUACGCGUGUCAAGUUGAUCUAUACUAACUUGGGAAAUUUUUGUAUUGCUAAAUCUUGAUUCUGAUGUCUUGCAAUUUAGGACCUACCCUUUGUUCUUGCUGUUUUUGUUGCAGGAAAGACUGCAUUGUUUUGGUUUUAAAGUCGAGGCUUGGCAAUGUACUGCCUAGUUAUCUGUCAUGAAUAGUUACACACCAACACAAUUGCACUCAUGAAUUUCCAAAAUUAGAUUUACUAAAUAAUCUAAAUAUAUGCUGCAGGAAUAAUCCUAGGAAGGACUACAUGCAGUAGAAGUUCCCAUAAAUACAAGACAAUGCAAAGCCUAUGCAUUACUAGCGACUAGAGGUUUUCAUACUCUGUAGGAUGUAAAAAAUCCUUACAGAAUAAUACCAUCAGAGUAGAAACCUUUGGCUACAUAUCGAAUAUCGAUUAUUAACAAUCAGGAUUCAGGAGGAUAUGUGAAGCCUAACAAAAACAACGAACAUUCAUGUUUUCUGUAUUAAACCUCCAAAUCAAUUAGUAUCAGUGGUUCUGUAAUUAUUAUCAGGCUAAUCUGACUGUGUUUACAAAAUUUUAACUUACAAUUGUGAAGGAAACAGAUACAUAUAAGAUUGCCAAGGCAAAACAUUAUUUGGCUAGGUAAGUAAAUCAGAAGAUACAUACAUAAAAUAUCUAAUACUAGAAAUUGUAUAAAUAUACAAUUAUACAUGUACCAAAGAUAACUUCUAACUUAUUCAAAAAAGGAAAAGAGUUCACUUCUAACAAUCAGUGGAAAGAGGGUACUGACAGUAUUUUGGGUUCUUCAUGCACAGAAAGAACCGCUCAUAAGCCGAUGCCAUCUUAGUUGCAGUGAACACCGAAUGCACAUAGUUUUUGCAAGCCACCCCUUUCCUCUUCAGCACAUUAGGACCAUCUUUUAUUGCCAACUCUAAAGCCUCAACAAAAGACUCGACAUUGGGUGAGAAAGUGUAUCCAAAUUCUUCAUUCACCAACACUGUCCCAACAAUGCUCGGAUAGUUUGGAGUUAGAACUGUCUUCCCACUUUGCAUUGCUUCAAUCAAUGUUAGAUCAAGCCCUUGGGGCCUCAACGUGGGGUUGACGAACACAUCAAGAGCAUUGUAAAAAUUAGACAGCUGCAAUGGCUCCAAUGCUCCUAGUACCUUCACAUUUGUGCCUAAUUCAGCAUAUCUUCUUCUCCAAGGACCUGACCCUGCAACAAGCAAAAACACACCGGGGUAGCGCUUCACAAUUGAAGAAAAGGCUCUGUAAAGAAGUGGAUGCCCUUUGUCCUUAACCAGCCUCCCUGCCACUCCCAUCACAAGGCUCACAUUGGCAGGUAUACCAUGUUUUUCUCGGAACCUUGCACCCGCUUCAGGGUCUGGCAAAAAUUCUGUCUCAUCAACCCCAUUAAGUAUAACGUGCACAUUUCUCUGUGGGAUCUGAUAUAUGUUGACUAGAACCUCACCAGCACUCUUGCUUAUGCAUAUAUGCUGCUUAUAGUUCUUAAAGAACCGAAUCUCCUCAAUGAGCUUUGGCAAUGCUUCUUGCAGCUCUGGCAUGGGCUCUAGCAUAUCGCCAUUUGGGUCAGUCAGGAGUUGUUGCAGUAACUUAGAGUGCAUUGUUUCAUACGAUAUCCCAUGCCAAGUGACAGCCACAUUAGGCAUCCUCUUCGCACGCCAAUAAGGCAACGCAACACUCUCGGUGUGCACAUAGUCAAAUACCCCAUCCGAGUUAACUUUAUUGAAAAUUUCAAAUGCUAGUGAACAAUCAACCUUACCAUGAUCAUUUGCUGCAAAGUAAACAUGCAGGUUACCUUCAUGUAUGUCCCAAUGAGGCCUCUUAUCUGAAGGCACAGUGAAGACAUGAACCUCAUGACCCUUUGCAGCAAGCGCUUGGUACAAUGUGGAAGCAUGGCGCUCCAUACCACCCGGGUCUGCACCAACUGGCCAUGUUUUGGAGAAGACUGCCAGCUUGAGCUUCUCAAAUGUGGGACCGAAAAAUAGUUUGUUCCAUGGGAAUUUAGCAUCUCUAAGAUCACCAUUGAAUUGGGUGUUCUCAUCACCCCCAAAGAAUGGUUCUUGGGUGUUCUUAAGUGAUGAAAGGAAGAGGAACAACGAAGUAAAUAGCAGAAUCAAAGUGAGAAUGGUCGAGAAUCUAAUACGUAUGAAGUUAGAAGAAGAAGAGCUUUUGCAAGUUUGGUGUUUCAAUCCCAUUGCUACAAGAAAAGUGUGGUCCUUUGGAUGACAUGAACUUGUUAUUAUAAAGUCUCGAAUGCAAUAAAGGCUUUAGGCCAUUGAUGCCGGAUCUCCUCGAACUUGUAUAUCACAUGGCCUUUGGUCAACUCUUAAAACCCUUUUUCAGUGACAUGAAAACUCAUGAGCAUGAAAGCUCAAAGAAGUUACAAGAGGACACAAGUGCUUUGUUUGCUUCAAUGUGUUUUCACUCGUUGCAAAAUAAUCACCAUAGUUUGGUUCUUUUUCUUGGAACCCCUUUUUCUUCACUAGGCCAAAAAAGAUGCGACCUUUGCACAAGCAAAGACCCAAAACGACAACAGCCGAUGACAAAACGACACACACAAUCAGUCAACACUUGAUGCUACUGCGCAGCACCCGCUCACCAUCGUCUCCUAGCCUUUGACACUCGGUUUUCCCCAAACUUUCAAACCAAAAGCUUGCUUCUUUCUUCAUCCUUGAUUGCACUGAAGUAGAGUCUUGUUCCAAAAAUCCCCAAACCCUCUAAUUCAAUUUCAAAUUUCAGGGUUGCCCACAAUUGCAAAAUCAGGGUUUUUGAGGGGGUUAUUUUUUUGGUAGCAAAACCCUAGGAAUGUAAUAAAUUUAGGGGUUUGUCCCAUAAACCCUAACCCAGUUCCGAUUUCGAUCAAAGCCGUCAAAUUUGGGAAGAAAGUUAUCACAUUUGGGUUGUUUCUGAGGGUUUCAACCUAGAAUGGUUUCGGGCCCACUUGUUGGAGACGAAGCCAGCAACAGAUUCUAUUCUCGGAACGCCCAGAAUCCCAACCAUGUCAUACGUCACUCGCCGGAGCAGCAGAGCUUGAUGCAGCAGUUUCGAGGCGAGACGGCGUCGUUUGAUUCCUCGAACAAUGGGCUCGCCGAGCCCGGCAAUGGGCCACGUGGGUAUUCGAAGGUGGGGGACAAGGUGAGGAUUUGCUUGAACUCCAAGGCUGAUAUUAACGGAAUCAAGUGGAAGCUGAUGGGUGAGCUGGAGCAAGUGAGGAGCUUGGUGAGGAAUCUCGAAGCCAAGGAGGCUCAGCUUACUGAAGGGUAUGGUUUUUCUCAGAAAUCUGAUCAUAAUUUGGUAGAUAAUAAUAAUAGAAGUACAAUGUCGUUUAGGGGUAUAGGUGUUUGUAACGCGGAGAAUGAGAAUAAGGGUGGUGAGGGUGUGGAGAAAAAGAAGAGGAAGACUCCGAAGGGAGAUCAGAGUUCUAGGAAUCUGAAGUUACCUCCUUCCGGGGGUAAGAAGAAUUUGGGUAGGAAGAGUGAAGUUGGGCUGUUGUUGGGGCCGGAUAAGAAUUCGAGUAGAUUGUUGAAGAGUUGUACUACUUUGCUUGAGAAAUUGAUGAAGCAUAAGCAUGGCUGGGUGUUUAAUAAGCCGGUAGAUGCUAAGGGGCUUGGCCUUCAUGAUUAUUAUAAGAUUGUUAAGCAUCCAAUGGAUUUGGGGACGGUGAAGAGUAGGCUGGACAAGAAUUGGUAUAAGACGGCUGCUGAGUUUGCGGAGGAUGUGAGACUUACGUUCAAUAAUGCCAUGUUGUAUAACCCGAAAGAGCAGGACGUUCAUGUGAUGGCAGCCCUAUUGUUGAAGUUGUUUGAAGAGAAAUGGGCGGCUAUAGAGGAUCAGUAUAAUCUUAAUAGGAGAGCUGAAAUAGGUAAUGAUUCAGAAUUCCCAACCCCUGCUUCAAGAGAUGUUGAAGCUCCUGCUCAGUAUAAUAUCAAUAGGAGGGUUGAAAUGGGUAAUAAUUCAGAAGUCCCAACCCCCAUGUCAAGAAAGGUUCAGGGUCCUGCUCAUAAUAUUAAUAGGAGAAUUGGAAUGGGUAAUAGUUCAGAAUUGCCUACCCCUAUUUCAAGAAAGGUCCAGGCUCCUCCUCCUCCUCUUCCUUCUCCUUCUCCUCGACCAUUGGAGAUGAGGACUCUGGAUAGAGCAGAAUCGAUGACAAAGCCUGUUGAUCCCAAGUUGAAACCUGCAAGUGUUGGUCAUACAGGUAGAAAGCCGGUUCCAAAGAAACCAAAAGCUCGGGACCCUGACAAAAGGGAUAUGAAUAUGGAGGAGAAGCAGAAGCUCAGCACAGACCUUCAGGCUUUGCCUUCUGAGAAACUAGCUAAUGUUGUCCAGAUUGUUAGAAAGAGGUGUCAAGGGAUUCUACAGCAAGACGAUGAGAUUGAAUUGGACAUUGGCAGUGUUGAUCCUGAAACACUCUGGGAACUGGAUAGGUUUGUGACUAAUUACAAAAAGAGCUUGACCAAAAAUAAGAGAAAAGCUGAACUUGCUCCUCUAUCAGUAGAAGAAUCUGACUAUGCUAUGCAGGAGGUAAGGCUAUCAGUCAUGUAGUAUUGAAGUCCUCUUCUUUGUUUUUUUCUUUUUUAUGUUUGUAUAGCUUAUACUUGACUUUUAUCUUUUGAACUUGCAGAAUGUGGCACAAGCCACCGUAGAGGCACAACAUGAACCCAUAGCAGGUAUAAAUUUUACUCUUAAUGCCCCAGUGGACUUUGAUUUAUGCCCACUGCUGCAACUUGAUAACAAUAUAACAAUAUACUUAUUGCAAACUAUUUGGGCUAAACUUGUUACCUCAAUUAGCAGUUGAAUACAACGACAAUGCAUCGUCCCCGGUUCAAAGAGAAGAUCAAGGUGGGAAUGUGAGUGGAUCAAGUAGUUCUAGUAGUGGUUCUGGAUCCUCUUCAAGUGGUAAAUAUCAUUAUUUUGCUUUCCUAUACUUAUAAGGUUGUAGUGCUCUUUAAGAUGAUAAAUAAUUAAUUUUUUUGUUACGUUCUGUACAGAUUCGGACAAUGAUAGUUCCUCUGGAAGUGGAUCAUAUUCAAAUUGUUGACCGAGGACUUGAAUUGAUUAGUUAAGGUAGGUAGCACCAUCUUUGUUAAUGAGUAUUUCCAUUUUCUGGUCAUCAUGCAUGUGACCAUGGGCAAUUUGCUUUUUUUAGGCUUCAAAAUGCAUUUGGUGUUGAAUCAACUAUUGAUUAUGAUACAUGGAUACUUUUAUAUCAUUAGUGGUAUGCUGCUCUUUUUGCUUCCAUAAUUGCUCAUUAUUGACCUUCUUUGAUUUUGUGAGCCCCAAAAAGGGAAAUGAAAAAAUGCGGAGGUUUUAUGAAACGAGUGACUUGGUGAUCUGCCAUUUGUCAUUUUGGAAAUUAACUUGUUCCUUUUCUUCUCCUCUCAGCCCUGUAUGGCCACCUCUCAAUAAAUAAUAAAUUCAGAAAUAGCAGUCAGAAGUGUUAACGUGUGUGUGUUUCAUAUGUUAUGCUGUUUACCAUAUUGAUUACUAGAAAUUAUUAUAAUAUGUACUUAAAUAUGUUUAAUACUUGCAAGCAUUUUGAAACUAUUGGAGAAUUUAACCGCUUCUUUCUUUAGAACUCAAGCUGUUUCUUCUCAUUUCAUAUAUCUCUGUUCCAUAUUAUUCGUCAUAUGUAUUUUUGCUGUACUUGUUUGCUCUGUAAUUAUGGCGUACAUUCAUCUCUCUAGCAGGUAGUGAUGUUUUCAUCUAGUAGUGGCACCCCUCCACUUUUUAGCUUUUUUGAUUAUCAUGAAAUUAUUUUAGAAAUAUGAAUGCCUUCUCUGUUGGGAGCACCAACUUGUCUUCUUUGGUUGCCAAUGCUUAGUAGGUGCCUGUGCAUUUUUUUGUUGUUGUUCAAGUUAUAAUGCACAUAAUAUAUAUUUAUGGGUAUCUUCUAUGCAUGAUACGGCUGCUCGUGCAUCAUAAUAUUUUCUUGGGAUCAGAAUCCAUUUCAAUGACAACAAAAAAGGCUUUGGAUUUGACAGAAAGGCUAUACGAAUUUUAUUUUAUUUGAAGAAUCUGUCAAACUUUAAUAUAUAUUUUGUUUUUGAAGUGAUUAGAUAUGAACUUUAUAUAGGCAAAGAAUUAUCUGAAAUUCAAAUGGUUUCUUAGUGUUAUUCUAUUCCAAUCUAGUUUUUCCAUAUAAUAGUUUAAUCAAAUAUUGGUUAGAUCCCUAGAUGUGCAAAAUACCCCCAAGUGCGCCCUUGAUGAUUUUAGAUAGCUCCCUCUGCAAUAUCCAAUUAAAAAGAUGGUUAAUACCUCCAAAGUCGGAGGGUAUACUAAAUUCUCUUGCAAUAAUUGAACCAAGAUGGCUUCUGGGCUUAAUUCAUGUUUAAUGCGUGUGCUGAAAUCAACAUUUUUGGAUGAAAUGUUAUAGAACCUUGUAGUUAAGAGUCUCUUUUCUUAGAGAUCUGUAUGAUGCUAGAUUUGUCUUGUAUAUGCAUGUCUCCACAUUGAUUGAGAAUCUGUUAAUCCAAAUUCAUUAACAUACAAAGUUUGUAGCAAAAAACAAAAAAACAAAAUCAGUGAUAUGCACUUAAGAUGAUCAUGUGCAUGCAUGAAUAUACUGUCAUUCUGUAGUUCAUUUUGUAAAGCUCUAUGUGGAUGUCUGAUGCAAGUUUUCUUAUUUUUUUGACAGCUCGGUGUUUUAGAGAAGUUUUUGUUCAGCCUGGGAUAUGGUGUGUACAUCAUGUUUGAUCCAUCUGACAGCUGCCCCAUAAUCAGAGUUCUCCAUAGGUAUAUGUUAAUGUGGCACAGUUAACCUAAAUGGUGAGGGUAUGGUGUGGGGAAAUGGGCUAGGUUUAGGAUUAGGAUAAUCCCUUACAAUGUAACCUGAAAACAAUAUCAUGGUUACAUGAAAUAUUUUCUAUGAUAGUACGAUUGCAACUGGUGCUCGCUAUUUCCACAUCCAAAUGAAAUUUACUUUUGAUUGGGGAGCUAUUAUCAAAGGAUUUAUGCAGCCAAAGUUGGUAGGCUGAAUUCAAGUCUACAGUUGUCCUUGUGCUCUCGCAUGGCAUCUUGAUGACUUGUGAUCUAGUUGUUGUCAUUGUGGAUAUUAUUUUAUGUUUUGAACAAUAUUAAACAUUUGGCAUUGAUCUGUAGCGUUGUAGAGGAAAAUGUCUAUAUUUUCCAAUCAAAAAUUAGUUGUUCCAUUUUGGUCUUCUACCUUGGUCUUGAAUUUGUAGCAGGCCUUUGUGGUUUCUUUUUUUUCUUGAAAUACUGGAUUUUAUUCAAUAGAUUAUAAGGAAUGGUUUCAUUCUUGUGUAACUAGAUCACUAGUACACAAUGGAGCAGAUGCAAGCCACAACUCAGUCUGCUCUUCAUAGGCAACAUCAGCCAGCUUGUGGGCUACUUCGCAGGACCUGGGAGAAAAGCUGAUUCAAACACCCAUCUCAAUCUUUUUAUGUCAUGAUGUCAUUGACUUGCUUAUCUCAAACAGAUUCACAGCGGUACUAGCAAUUUCCUGAACAGCUAGCAAGCAGUCCGAUUUGAUGAUGGCUUCUUUUAGUUUUAGCUGGUGUAUGAGACGUAGACGGUAGACCCUCUUGGAUGGUCAGUAGUUCUACACUUCUACUUGUGGUGCUGCAUUGACGUGAUGCUCAUUUGCACAGGCUUGAUGAGAGCAGCCUGAAACGCACCAUCGGAGUUUCUUAAUACACAACGAACACUCAUGUGGUAUAUGUAUGCGGUACAAAAGCUCCAUCAACAUUGAGCUUUGGGGUUUCUGCAUUUAGGCUUUGGGGUGUGUAGCAGUAGUGUGUCCAGCUUGUUGGAAUCACUCAAGUAAAACACCCGAACAAAAUAUCAAUUGGCGUCUGCGUCCACCUACCAAGACAACCUGAACACCUAAAUCCAUUUCAAUCACCCCCAUCGCAUUAGGACCCAACUCGGAGAAACACUCACCCUAAAGCUGACCAACACCUAAACCAAAUUUACAAGGAAAACAAGCAAAGCUCAAAUCAAACUUUCUGAAGACAACAAAGCACCAAACUAUUGUUGUAUAGUAGGAAUCAUCUUAGCCACCUGUUCUCUCUUAGUAUAACGGUAUAACCUAUGAACUCUGGAUUUCUUUUCGAGUAUACUUGUAUCAUUGCAUGUAUACAAAGUUCAUGUUUUGUGAUUUCUGUAGAAGCACAAAUACAUGAGAUGCAUUGUAGAGAUCGUAGAUUUUAAGAAAUUGAUCUCCCUCGUUCUUCCUUCUUUGUAAGUUCUGUUUGGGUGGUUGUCUCUGUCCAUUUGGCAACUGAAUUAGGGCCAUGAGGCAUGAGCUGUUGAGUUCUCAAUUCUCCUUUUUAAUUCUUCCAUAGUUCUAUUUAGAGAAAAUGUUCAUUUAAUACUAAUUUAAACCCCUCAUUUCACAUUCCAAUGACAAUCUUUUUCAUAAACCCAUUCUAAUAUAAGGUAACCUUUUUUAUGCCCAAAUGCAUAAAUCUUUACUAAAGUCUUAACAAACUAUAUUAUUUUAAGACUAUUUUGCCUUCACCCCGUAAACAUGUAUAGAGAGAGAACGGAAGAAAGAGAAUACUUGGCCGGAAUCUCAUCGAACUCUGGUCACCGGCCGUUGGACAACAGUCAUUGGCUGUCAGACUCCAGUUGCCGGAUUUCUCCGGAAGUCAGAUUCCAGUCACCGGUAACUCGGUUACUGACCCCCAAUAAAUUCGUUACUGACCCCAAUAAUCAGUUACUGACCCUCAAUAAUUGGGUUACUGACCUCAAUAAUCAAUUACUGACCCCCAAUAAUCGAGUUACUUACCACAUUAAUCAGUUACUGACCCCCAAUAAUCGGGUUACUACCCCCAAUAACUUGGUUACUGACCUUCAUAAUUGGUUACUACCCCUUAAUAAUCAGUUAAUGACCCUCAAUAAUCAGUUACUGACCCCCAAUAAUCGGGUUACUGACCACAAUAAUCAGUUACUGACCCCUAAUAAUCGGGUUACUACCCCCAAUAACUUGGUUACUGACCCCCAAUAAUCAGUUACUGACCCAAUAAUCAACUUAUUUCAGCUUAUUGUAAUAGAAAAAAGAAAUACCCAAACAUAAUCGAGUUAUUAACCCCAAAAUAGUUACUAACCCCCAAUAAAAUAUUGAAACAACUCAGAACCGUCACCUCUGUGAAUCCGUUAAAAUAAUUAGUUAAAAUAUUAAAAAAAAUGAAGAUAUAACAGAAGAAUAAGUAGCUCCCCAAACAAAAAAAAAACCUCAUUGAAAACAAAAAAAAACAAAAAAGAAAUGGACGAAAACCCAAAUCGGAUUUGUGACUACAGUACCGCCGUCUAUCCAUAUCCCCCAUUCCUAAAAAGAUGUAUUCCCUUUGAUUGAUACCAUGUGCAAACACACAACGAAUUUCUUCUUUGAUCAUAUAUGAUUUUUUCUUAGUUUCAUUAACUUACAAGAUAUUUGAACUUUUUUCUUGGACUAAGCACCAGAUCUCAGACGAAGUCCAGAUCUUUCGACGAAGCUUCAUGUGAUAAGAGGACGAGGAGGAGCCCGAGGUCGUCGUUCGCUCAGCCUACUCUGACGACGAAGAGGUCGCCGAUGAGAAUUCUGCAGCUCCGAUGAGUCGAUGACGAGGUAGCCCCGAUUGAGAACGACGAAGUUCUCGACAGAGAAUUGAAGCUGGAUCUGAUUGUACUUCGACGAGGAGAGAGAGAGAAGGUGACGACCGAGAAAGUGGAGAUCGAAGAUGGUUAUCAGAGAGAGAGAGAGAUAGAUUGUGGAGAAGAGAUUGGACUUUGAGAGAUCCUUCGGGAGGGAUGAGAGAGAUAGGUUGGUAUUAGAUUAGGGGUAGAUUUAUUAUUUUGCAUUAAAACAUUGAAAUGGCACAUGAAAAAGUAAUGGAUUGGGAUUUAGUUUAGUUAAUUUUGUGCAAAUAGUCAUUAUCUCUUUUAUUUAUCACUUCUGACAAAAAAAAAAAUAUUAUUAUUAUUAUUAUUAUUGAGUAAAAGAAAUUGUUCCUUGACACUUCACAGAAGGGUUUGCAUCCCCAGGCUACGACGCAUCCAUGUCCGUAUCUAGACCAUAAACAUGAGAAUAUAUUCCAUUCCAAGUGGUGAAAAACCAUACACAAACAAAUGGUUGAAAAACACUGCACAUUUGUUGUCAUCUGAGUCGCCAUCUGCAAUAGGUUGUGAGAUGCUUGCUGCUUAUCUUCCAGAUAGUGGCAAGCACUCUAUUUGGAACUUUGAGAGCAACACUAUACUGGUCUAUUAGUUUUGUCAUCCAAACCACUUUCAAAAAUUGAAUUGGAGUCUUUGAGGCUAUCUCUCAAAUCCAUUAUUUCUCAUGGCUUCUACAAAAUCCAUUCAAAUGACUAAACACUAUUCAGACAUUUGCGAUCAAGUUCAAACAGAGUAAACUCUCCCAUAAACAUGACACCGGGAAUUAUUGACACAACGUUUGGUCCUAUCAGAGCUUACUCCAAUAAAACGCCGGCACUGCUGGCAGCAAUGAAA
rnacentral:lncRNA from 1 species